CCUACGGGAGACAGCAGUGGGGAAUAUUGCACAAUGGGGGCAACCCUGAUGCAGCGACGCCGCGUGAGUGAAGACGUAUCUCGGUACGUAAAGCUCUUUCAGCAGGGAAGAAAAUGACGGUACCUGACUAAGAAGCCCCGGCUAACUACGUGCCAGCAGCCGCGGUAAUACGUAGGAGGCAAGCGUUAUCCGGAUUUACUGGGUGUAAAGGGAGCGUAGACGGCAGCAAAAGUCUGGAGUGAAAUCCCGGGGCUUAACCCCGGAACUGCUUUGGAAACUGGGCGGCUGGAGUGCAGGAGGGGUAAGCGGAAUUCCUGGUGUAGCGGUGAAAUGCGUAGAUAUCAGGAGGAACACCGGUGGCGAAGGCAGCUUACUGGACUGUAACUGACGUUGAGGCUCGAAAGCGUGGGGAGCAAACAGGAUUAGAUACCCCUGUAGUC
rnacentral:rRNA from 1 species